CUCAUUCUCUGUACCUGAGGAAACAGCCAUUGGACUUUGGGGAAGGGGUCCUAACCUGAAGAGUUUGGUCAGUAACCUUGCUGGAAGCUUGUGAGAAGCUGCUUUACAACUCAGAUUGUUUCUUAAGUAGAUACUAAAGUUACUACAGUGAAGAGAGUACUAUAGAAUCUGAGCACCUGAAUCUGAGCACCUUCUAAAAGUGCAAUAAGGAGGGCAUUCAAAAACUAUUGGGCCAGAUUGCCACCUACUACAAGAUGUAUGAAAGAUCACAACCAUCCAGGUGGAGCUCCCUUAUCCUUAGCAGCAUGGCUCCACUAGCCUACAGCACCUAUUCCAGCUACAAUAUCCUUAGCAUAUGUAAUGUGGCAUGUCACUUCACCAUUUAUACAGUUGCCUCUCUGUAUAAAAGUGAAUGAAACUUAUGUUCAAAUUUGCUCUGGAAAACUGUACAUAUGGCAAAGCUCAAGUGAAAAUCUUACCAAGUGCCAAUAACACUAAGUCCUGGACUAUGGGAAAUAUAUAUCUAUUACCUGGCUUGCUUGUUUGUCUGCAUGCCAAGAAGCCUGAACGUACAUCCCAUAAUGUUUGGAUGCAUUGCAAACAAAUGUCAAAGCAAGCAUUAUACCCUCUGCUAAUGUACGUUUUCAGGUCAACAAUGUGAUGUUUGAAAAGAUUAAUCCCUUGCUGAGUAAUAUUCAUCUGAAUGCUUUUAAAUGUUGGUUUAUAUGCAGAUAGUGAGAUAUGUACCACAAACACAGCUGU